rnacentral:rRNA from 1 species
CCCUUAGAUGUUCUGGGCCGCACGCGUGCUACACUGAGUAAUUCAAUGGGUAAGGGAACGCUAAAGCAUUACCUAAUCUUGAAAUUUGCUCGUGAUGGGGAUCGACGGUUGCAAUUUUCCGUCGUGAACGAGGAAUACCUUGUAGGCGCAUGUCAUCAUCAUGCGCCGAAUACGUCCCUGCCCUUUGUACACACCGCCCGUCGCUCCUACCGAUUGAGUGAUCCGGUGAGGCUCUGGGACCUGGACGGAAAGAGCGUUUCGCUUGUUCUGUUUGGGAAACUUGGUCGAACCUUAUCAUUUAGAGGAAGGAGAAGUCGUAACA